GCUGGGUGCAGUGCUACAAGCCUGUAGUCCCAGCUUCUCAGGAGGCUGAGGAAGCAGGAGGAUCGCUUGGGCCAGGUGUUCUGGGGUGUGCUAUGCUGAAAGGCUGUCCACACCAAUCUAACAUCAAUAUGGUGACCUCUGGGGGGGGGGGCACCACAUUGCUAUGGAGGGAUGAACCAGCCCAGGUCAGGCACGGAGCUGGUCCAGACUCUGAUGCUGCUCAGUGGUAAGAUCGUGCCUGUGAGUGGCCACUGCACUCCAGCCUGGGCAACAUAGUGAGACCCUGUGUCU
rnacentral:SRP_RNA from 1 species